rnacentral:rRNA from 1 species
CGGGUGCGUUNCGCGUGGGAGUCUGCCCCUCGGUUCGGAACCAGUUAGAAAUGACUGCUAAUACCGGAUGAUGACGUAAGUCCAAAGAUUUAUCGCCGAGGGAUGAGCCCGCGUAGGAUUAGCUAGUUGGUGUGGUAAAGGCGCACCAAGGCGACGAUCCUUAGCUGGUCUGAGAGGAUGAUCAGCCACACUGGGACUGAGACACGGCCCAGACUCCUACGGGAGGCAGCAGUGGGGAAUAUUGGACAAUGGGCGAAAGCCUGAUCCAGCAAUGCCGCGUGAGUGAUGAAGGCCUUAGGGUUGUAAAGCUCUUUUACCCGGGAUGAUAAUGACAGUACCGGGAGAAUAAGCUCCGGCUAACUCCGUGCCAGCAGCCGCGGUAAU